rnacentral:rRNA from 1 species
GACGAACGCUGGCGGCGUGCCUAAUACAUGCAAGUCGAACGCAGUGGGGACGGGUGAGUAACACGUGGGUAACCUCCCAUCAGAGGGGAUAACACUUGGAAACAGGUGCUAAACCGAUACUGAUGGAUGGACCCGCGGUGCAUUAGCUAGUUGGUGAGGUAACGGCUCACCAAGGCCACGAUGCAUAGCGGCCCUGAGAGGUUGAGCGGCCACAUGGGGACGGAGCACCGUCCCAAAAUCCUACGGGAGGCAGAAUGAGGGAAUCUUGGGCAAUGGACGAAAGUCUGACCGAGCAACGCGGCGUGAGUGAAGAAGGUUUUCGGAUCGUAAAACUCUGUUGUUAGAGAAGCGGUAUCUAACCAGAAAGCCACGGCUAACUACGUGCCAGCAGCCGCGGUAAUUC